rnacentral:rRNA from 1 species
CCUACGGGGGGCUGCAGUAGGGAAUAUUGGACAAUGGGCGCAAGCCUGAUCCAGCCAUGCCGCGUGAGUGACGAAGGCCUUCGGGUUGUAAAGCUCUUUUGGCGGGGACGCGGUACCCGCAGAAUAAGCUCCGGCUAACUUCGUGCCAGCAGCCGCGGUAAUACGAAGGGAGCUAGCGUUGUUCGGAAUCACUGGGCGUAAAGCGCACGUAGGCGGAUGUGUCAGUCAGGGGUGAAAUCCCGGAGCUCAACUUCGGAACUGCCCUUGAUACAGCACAUCUGGAGUCCGGAAGAGGUGGGUGGAAUUCCUAGUGUAGAGGUGAAAUUCGUAGAUAUUAGGAAGAACACCGGUGGCGAAGGCGGCCCACUGGUCCGGACUGACGCUGAGGUGCGAAGCGUGGGGAGCAACAGGAUUAGAUACCCUUGUAGUC